GAUGAACGCUAGCGGGAGGCUUAACACAUGCAAGGUCGAGGGGCAGCAUAGGGUAGCAAUACUCUGAUGGCGACCGGCAAACGGGUGAGUAACGCGUAUGUAACCUACCCUGUACAGGGGGAUAACCCGGAGAAAUUCGGACUAAUAUCCCAUAACAAUAUCCGGGGGCAUCUUUGGAUAUUUAAAGUUCCGGCGGUACGGGAUGGGCAUGCGUAACAUUAGCUAGUUGGUAAGGUAACGGCUUACCAAGGCUUUGAUGUUUAGGGGUCCUGAGAGGGUGGUCCCCCACACUGGUACUGAGACACGGACCAGACUCCUACGGGAGGCAGCAGUGAGGAAUAUUGGUCAAUGGGCGCAAGCCUGAACCAGCCAUCCCGCGUGCAGGAAGACGGCGCUAUGCGUUGUAAACUGCUUUUCCAGGGAGAGAAACUUGCGCACGUGUUGCGCAAUUGACGGUACCCUGGGAAUAAGCAUCGGCUAACUCCGUG
rnacentral:rRNA from 1 species